rnacentral:rRNA from 1 species
AUUGAACGCUGGCGGCAGGCUUAACACAUGCAAGUCGAGCGGGCGAGGUUGCUUGGGUAACUGAGCUAGCGGCGGACGGGUGAGUAAUGCUUAGGAAUCUGCCUAUUAGUGGGGGACAACAUUCCGAAAGGAAUGCUAAUACCGCAUACGCCCUACGGGGAAAGCGGGGGAUCUUAGGAACUUGCGCUCAUAGAUGAGCAUAAGUCAGAUUAGCUAGUUGGUGGGGUAAAGGCCUACCAAGGCGACGAUAUGUAGCGGGUCUGAGAGGAUGAUCCGCCACACUGGGACUGAGACACGGCCCAGACUCCUACGGGAGGCAGCAGUGGGGAAUAUUGGACAAUGGGCGCAAGCCUGAUCCAGCCAUGCCGCGUGUGUGAAGAAGGCCUUUUGGUUGUAAAGCACUUUAAGCGAGGAGGAGGCUACCGAGAUUAAUACUCUUGGAUAGUGGACGUUACUCGCAGAAUAAGCACCGGCUAACUCUGUGCCAGCCGCCGCCGUAAUAC